rnacentral:lncRNA from 1 species
CUUAGAUUUGAAGGUUGCCUUACCUUUUUAAAGAUUUUUUUUAUGAGUUGAUAGAAAGUCCUAAAAUCUUAGGAACAGAAACAAUUGAGAAUUACAAGUCAAAUCAUUGAAAUGGAGCCAUCUGACAGUUUAUGUGUUCUGCUGUGCCAGUAGUGAGUGGGAACAGUUUCUAUGUGGGAAUAUAAUCAGGGUCCUGACUACCCCUAAAGGAGCUCUUUCUUGUUUGGUGUGAAGCCAAUACACCAAACCGAGAGUGAGUAUCAAACAGUGUGGGCUUUUUUCAAUGGCCAUGGAAUUGCAGAAGUGGGAGCAUAGCCUGCAAAUCAACUUCUCAGAGCCUGAGAACUGAGGAUUCUUAAUGAAGGGGCUGGGUAUACAGAGGAAAGGGAGAAAUAUUCAUAGCUUUUCUUGGGAAGGGAGGUAGGUUUUUUUGGAAUCAAAGAGCCACCUCUUUUCUGCCUGUUUUUGGUCUCUUCUGGCCAUUGUCAUGGUGAUUGUCAACUGUCAAGGUGCCAGUGGGAGUGUCAUUUAGCAUGGAAAUUGGAUCAUAAUGAAGCUAGAGGUUUUUCAGAGGUCAAGCUGCCAUUGCGGAUUUUGCCAGCUUCAGCCAGUUUAGUCCUAAGAAGGAACUUCUGACCCCAGACAUCCUGUUUUCUAAAACUAAGCAGUUAAAGCUGAAUGGGAAUUUAGCUCUGUCACAUAGGCAUUUGUUGGGCAACAAAAGCAGGGUAGGGCUCCAGCUAAGCCACGUAGGCACUACGAUGGGCAACAGAAAGGUUGGUUUCUGGGCAAUUCAGAGAAACCAAGGACAGCUACCCCCAGAACUCAGAGUAGCCAACUGGGCUGCUCACAGGAGAUGCCUUAACUGAAAGGUGAUCAGACUCCACAGGAGACCCAGAGAAGAUGUGGAGGGAGCUCAGAGGCUGUCCUGGAGGAGACGUGGAGACAGCUCAGAGGCUGUCCCAGAGAAGACGUGGAAAGAGCUCAGAGGCUGUCCCAGAGAAGACGUGGAGAGCUCAGAGGAUGUCCCAGAGAAGACGUGGAGAGAGUUCAGAGGCUGUCCCGGAGAAGACGUGGAAAGAGCUCAGAAACUCAGAGACUGUCCCGGAGAAGACAUGGAAACAGCUCAGACGCUGUCUGCAAGAAGAUGUGGAGAGAGUUCAGAGGCUGUCGUUACUGCUGCACUUGGCUGUUUUUCUUUGGAUAAUUAUUGCAAUCAAUUUUAGUAAUUCAGGUGUUAAAUCACAGUCAAGCACCUAUUUACCUAGUGGGAAUACAGAGGCCUGAAGAGAGGAAAAAAGAGAUGGGGGAUGGUCGGUGGAGCAGUCAGAAUACACACAUUUACUGGCAAGUUUGUCAUCUUAUAUUGGCACAGUUGUGGCACCCCAAAACAAUUACAAUAGUAACAUCAAAGAUUACUGAUCACAGAUCACAUAACAGACAUAAUAAUACAAAUUUAAAAUAUUGCAAGAGUUACCAGAUGUGAUACGGUGACACAAAGUGAGCACAUGCUAUUGGAGAAAAUGGUGCUGAUAGACUUGCUCAAUGCAGGGUUGCCACAUGCCUUCAAUUUAUAAAAAAUGCAGUAUCUGAGAAGUGCAGUAAAGCAAAGCACAAUAAAAUCAGGUAUGAGGCUGGGCAUGGUGGCUCAUGCCUGUAAUCCCAACACUUUGGGAGGCUGAGGCAGGCAGAUCACCUCAGGUCAGAAGUUCAACCAGCCUGACCAACAUGGAGAAACCCAGUCUCUACUAAAAAUACAAAAUUAGCUGGGUGUGGUGAUGCAUGCCUGUAAUCCCAGCUACUCGGGAGGCUGAGGCAGGAAAAUCGCUUGAACCCAGGAGGGGGAGGUUGCGGUGAGCCCAGAUCUUGCCAUUGCACUCCAGCCUGGGCUACAAGAGCAAAACUCCAUCUCAAAAAAAAAAAAAGAAACUAGAAAAGAAAAUAAAACCAACAGUAAGCAGAAGAAAGGAAGUAAAAAGCAUCAGUGUAGAAAUCAAUGCAAUAGAAAACAGGAAAAAUCAUUUACAGGAAAUAAAUGAAACCAAACUCUGUCUCUUUGAGAAGGUCCAUAGUAUUGAUAAACUUCUAUUCAGGCUUAUCAGGAAAAAAAGAGAGAAUACAAAAACAACCUAUCAGGAAUAAGAGAAGUAACAUAACAACAGAUUCAACAGAUGCUAAAGAGAUAAUAAAUGGUAAUUAUGAACAACAUUGUGCCAACAGAUUUGACAACUUAGAUGAAGUGGACAAAUGUCUCCAAAGACACAAUUAUCUAGUCUUACUCAAAAACAAACAGACAGAAUAGCCCGGUAUCUAUUAAAGAAAUUGAAGCUGUAAUUUAAAACCUUUCCACAAAGACUCCAAUGCUAGGUCUAAAUGGCUUCAGUGAAGAAUUCUACCAAACAUUUAAGAAAAACAUGAUACCAAUUCUGCUAGUUCUUACCAAUUAUUCUAAUUAAAGAGAAAAUUGAAAAAGGAAGGAAUACUUCCGAAUAACCUCUUGCACUUUUCUCAGACUUGUAAGUGUGACACUGGGAUGACCAGUUCAUGGGGAGAAUUUUAUAUUCUUUACAGGUGAACUGGCUACAACCACAGGCAAUUUCAAUUUCUUUCCAAAUUUCUUCAGGGGAAUAUCUGAGGAAAAAUAAAG